rnacentral:rRNA from 1 species
AUUGAACGCUGGCGGCAGGCUUAACACAUGCAAGUCGAACGAGUGGCGGACGGGUGUGUAAUGCUUGGGAAUCUAGCUUAUGGAGGGGGAUAACUACGGGAAACUGUAGCUAAUACCGCGUACCAUAGGAUGAGCCCAAGUGGGAUUAGGUAGUUGGAGAGGUAAAGGCUCACCAAGCCGACGCUCUCUAGUUGGUCUGAGAGUAUGACCAGCCACACUGGGACGGAGAAACGGCCGAGACUCCUACGGGAGGGAGGAGUGGGGAAUAUGGCGCAGGGGGGGCAACCUGGACGCAGCCGAGCCGCGUGUGUGAAGGAGGCCUGCGGGUUGUAAAGCACUUUCAGCGGGGAGGCGUUACCCGCAGAAGAAGCACCGGCUAACUCCGUGCCAGCAGCCGCGGUAAUA